rnacentral:rRNA from 1 species
CAACAGGGAUUGCCCUAGUAACGGCGAGUGAAGCGGCAACAGCUCAAAUUUGAAAUCUGGCUCUCGGGCCCGAGUUGUAAUUUGUAGAGGAUACUUUUGAUGCGGUGCCUUCCGAGUUCCCUGGAACGGGACGCCAUAGAGGGUGAGAGCCCCGUCUGGUUGGAUGCCAAAUCUCUGUAAAGUUCCUUCGACGAGUCGAGUAGUUUGGGAAUGCUGCUCUAAAUGGGAGGUAUAUGUCUUCUAAAGCUAAAUACCGGCCAGAGACCGAUAGCGCACAAGUAGAGUGAUCGAAAGAUGAAAAGCACUUUGAAAAGAGAGUUAAAAAGUACGUGAAAUUGUUGAAAGGGAAGCGUUUAUGACCAGACUUGGGCUUGGUUAAUCAUCUGGGGUUCUCCCCAGUGCACUUUUCCAGUCCAGGCCAGCAUCAGUUUUCCCCGGGGGAUAAAGACUUCGGGAAUGUGGCUCUCUUCGGGGAGUGUUAUAGCCCGUUGUGUAAUACCCUGGCGGGGACUGAGGUUCGCGCAUCUGCAAGGAU